rnacentral:rRNA from 1 species
AGGACGAACGCUGGCGGCGUGCUUAACACAUGCAAGUCGAGCGGAAAGGCCCUUCGGGGUACUCGAGCGGCGAACGGGUGAGUAACACGUGGGCAACCUGCCCCUAGCACUGGGAUAAGCCCGGGAAACCGGGUCUAAUACCGGAUAUGACCUUCAAGGGCAUCCUCGAAGGUGUAAAGGAUUCUGGCUAGGGAUGGGCCCGCGGCCUAUCAGCUUGUUGGUGGGGUAACGCCCACCAAGGCAACGACGGGUAGCCGGCCUGAGAGGGCGACCGGCCACACUGGGACUGAGACACGGCCCAGACUCCUACGGGAGGCAGCAGUGGGGAAUAUUGCACAAUGGGCGAAAGCCUGAUGCAGCGACGCCGCGUGAGGGAUGACGGCCUUCGGGUUGUAAACCUCUUUCAGCUCCGACGAAGCGAAAGUGACGGUAGGAGCAGAAGAAGCACCGGCCAACUACGUGCCAGCAGCCGC